GAUGCAGACAGCAACACAGAGGAGACACAGAGUGUGGGAGGAGGGAAAGUAAUUGAUGGAGAGAGAGAGAGAGAGAGAGAGAUGGAGUGAGCAGCUCUGAGCAACACUGAGAGCUCGUGAGGGAAGAUGCUAGACAAAAUUUGAAGAAAGCCCUUAGUGCAAUUAAAAAUGAGACUGACAAGAAAAACCGAGCACAGAUUCGAAAUGGAAACGGGAGACGUUGAAGGCAAAUUCAGGAUGUCAGGGGAUUUUUAAAGUCUUCAAGUCUUCCGGACGUUAAUCGUAGAUGCUGUGAUUCCCUUGGACGUUUUGUCAGAUGGGAUUUCAAUAUUUAAAACCAGAGCUCCCAACAUAAUUCCUGAUCUCUUCUGGAACUAUCUGCAUGGUUUCUUGGCCUCUGACCUUUAAAGAUCUCCUUCUGUUUUUCCUGUUACUUGAUCUUCAAGCCUUCAUUUCCAGUUGAAAAAGGACCAGUCUUCCAUUCUUGCAAAAACAACGCCACCGUCAAGCAGCUUCGUCACUCAGCACAGCUAACAAGCCUGUACUCACUGGAUUCUCGAGGUUCCAGAAACAAUCUGAGCUUGGGAUAAACGAGCCGUCUGAACGGUGAGGGAUUGUUGGGUAAGAGUGACAGAACUUGACCAGGCCGACGAAAGGGUGCAGGGGACCGGGACCGGGAGCCGGGCUGCGUGGGGCUUCCAGCGGUUCUUUCAGGUCCUGCAGGGAUGGAUGCAACGCCAGAAUAAAAAACAGGACGGGAAGUUUCUGCUGUCCCACUGGUACAAUGUGUGCAGGCGUGGCGCCCUCUGGAGGUUGGGAUCAGUGAUAUUAAACAUGCUCCCCCAUGGCCAUCAUCACAGGUGUCGGGCCAUCGCGGAGGAGCCAGAGAACGACCGCGAGGAGAGGAUUCUGGCAAUACUGGGGAUCAUCGGCACCGUGCUC